GACGAACGCUGGCGGCGUGCUUAACACAUGCAAGUCGAACGGGUCUGCCCUGUUUUUUGCGGGGUGGGUCAGUGGCGAACGGGUGAGUAACACGUGAGUAACCUGCCCCUCACUUCUGGAUAACCGCUUGAAAGGGUGGCUAAUACGGGGUGUUCUGGCUGUGCCGCAUGGUGUGGCUGGGAAAGAUUCACUUUUGUGGUGUUUUGGUGGGGGAUGGGCUCGCGGCCUAUCAGCUUGUUGGUGGGGUGAUGGCCUGCCAAGGCUUUGACGGGUAGCCGGCCUGAGAGGGUGGGCGGUCACACUGGGACUGAGAUACGGCCCAGACUCCUGCGGGAGGCAGCAGUGGGGGGUAUUGCACAAUGGGCGGAAGCCUGAUGCAGCGACGUCGCGUGAGGGAUGGAGGCCUUUGGGUUGUGAACCUCUUUCGCCGGUGAAGAAGGUCCUGCUCUUUGUGGUGGGGUUGACGGUAGCCGGGUUAUGAAGCGCCGGCUAACUACGUG
rnacentral:rRNA from 1 species